GGUUUUCGGACCUAGAGACCGGCGCACGGGUGCGUAACGCGUAUGCAAUCUACCUUUUACAGAGGGAUAGCCCAGAGAAAUUUGGAUUAAUACCUCAUAGUAUUAUUGAAUGGCAUCAUUUAAUAAUUAAAGUCACAACGGUAAAAGAUGAGCAUGCGUCCCAUUAGCUUGUUGGUAAGGUAACGGCUUACCAAGGCAACGAUGGGUAGGGGUCCUGAGAGGGAGAUCCCCCACACUGGUACUGAGACACGGACCAGACUCCUACGGGAGGCAGCAGUGAGGAAUAUUGGUCAAUGGGCGCAAGCCUGAACCAGCCAUGCCGCGUGCAGGAUGAAGCAUCUAUGGUGUGUAAACUGCUUUUGUACGAGAAGAAACACUCCUUCGUGAAGGAGCUUGACGGCAUCGUAAGAAUAAGGACCGGUUAACUCCGUGCCAGC
rnacentral:rRNA from 1 species